rnacentral:rRNA from 1 species
GAUGAACGCUGGCGGCGUGCCUAGUACAUGCAAGUCGAACGCGCAGCGAAAGGUGCUUGCACCUUUCAAGCGAGUGGCGAACGGGUGAGUAACACGUGGAUAACCUGCCUCAAGGCUGGGGAUAACAUUUGGAAACAGAUGCUAAUACCGAAUAAAACUUAGUAUCGCAUGAUACAAAGUUGAUAGGCGCUACGGCGUCACCUAGAGAUGGGUCCGCGGUGCAUUAGUUAGUUGGUGGGGUAAAGGCCUACCAAGACAAUGAUGCAUAGCCGAGUUGAGAGACUGAUCGGCCACAUUGGGACUGAGACACGGCCCAAACUCCUACGGGAGGCUGCAGUAGGGAAUCUUCCACAAUGGGCGAAAGCCUGAUGGAGCAACGCCGCGUGUGUGAUGAAGGCUUUAGGGUCGUAAAGCACUGUUGUAUGGGAAGAAAUGCUAGAAUAGGGAAUGAUUCUAGUUCGACGGUACCAUACCAGAAAGGGACGGCUAAAUACGUGCCAGCCGCCGCGGUAA